CGGAUCGUAGCUCAGUCUGGCAGAGCGCUGCCUUGGGGUGGCAGAGGCCGCCGGUUCAAGUCCGGCCGAUCCGACCA
rnacentral:tRNA from 1 species